AUUUGUAUUGUCAUAUAACAACAGACAUUUGUUUAAAAUUCUUAUCUUGUCAGGUUCAGUCUACUGCAGUGUGAAACCUCCCUACAAACUAUAGAGGGCAGGUGAGGAUUGUGAAGCUGUGGCUGGGCUUGUACACUCAGUAUCUAAAUACCUGCUCCAAGGCCUUUUCUUAUAUGGACCCAAGCCAGCUGUUUCUUCCAGAUGGUGACUCGUCCUCUCUCCCUCUGUUGAGAGAUGACUUCUAAGUUUUCAAAUGCAUUCAGGAGUUCACAAUCAAAGGCUCUACAAGAAGCACAGACUUGGAGCACAUCUCCCUUACCUUCCCUCACUCUGCCUAGGAGGCUGAGGACAGCAGGAAAACUCCAGACCCCUGCCCAUGGAGGAUGAUCACCAUGCUUUUCACUGAACAAAACAAAUAAAAAUAUUCCAAAU
rnacentral:lncRNA from 1 species